GAUCCUGGCUCAGAACAAACGCUGGUGGCAUGCUUAACACAUGCAAGUCGCACGAGAAAAAUUCUUCGGGAAUUGAGUAAAGUGGCGCACGGGUGAGUAACACGUAAGAACCUGCCCUUGGGUUUGGAAUAACAUCGCGAAAGUGGUGCUAAUACCAGAUAAUAUCUACGGAUCAAAGGAGGCUUUGCUUCUGCCUGGGGAGGGGCUUGCGCCCCAUUAGCUUGUUGGUGAGGUAACGGCUCACCAAGGCUUCGAUGGGUAGCCGGCCUGAGAGGGUGUACGGCCACACUGGAACUGAGACACGGUCCAGACUCCUACGGGAGGCAGCAGUGGGGAAUAUUGGGCAAUGGGCGAAAGCCUGACCCAGCAAUGCCGUGUGGGUGAUGAAGCCCCUAGGGGUGUAAAACCCUUUUAUAAGGGAAGAACCCCGAAAGGAGUAAUAUACCUUUCGGCUGACGGUACCUUAUGAAUAAGCCCCGGCUAACUCCGUGCCAGCAGCCGCGGUAAUACGGAGGGGGCAAGCGUUGUUCGGAAUUACUGGGCGUAAAGGGCGUGUCGGCGGCCUUGUAGGUCAGAUGUGAAAUCCCCAAGCUUAACUUGGGAAUUGCGUUUGAAACCAUGGGGCUUGAGGCUGGGAGAGGAAAGCGGAAUUCCUGGUGUAGCGGUGAAAUGCGUAGAUAUCAGGAGGAACACCGGUGGCGAAGGCGGCUUUCUGGACCAGUUCUGACGCUUAGGCGCGAAAGCGUGGGGAGCGAACGGGAUUAGAUACCCCGGUAGUCCACGCCGUAAACGUUGAGCACUAGGUGUAGCGGGUAUCGACCCCUGCUGUGCCGCAGUAAACGCAUUAAGUGCUCCGCCUGGGGAUUACGGUCGCAAGACUGAAACUCAAAGGAAUUGACGGGGGCCCGCACAAGCGGUGGAGUAUGUGGUUUAAUUCGAUGCAACGCGAAGAACCUUACCGGGGCUUGACAUGUUGGUGGUAGGAAUCCGAAAGGUGACCGACCCUUCGGGGAGCCCUCACAGGUGCUGCAUGGCUGUCGUCAGCUCGUGUCGUGAGAUGUUGGGUUAAGUCCCGCAACGAGCGCAACCCCUACCCUUAGUUGCCAUCAGUUCGGCUGGGAACUCUAGGGGAACUGCCGGUGACAAACCGGAGGAAGGUGGGGAUGACGUCAAGUCCUCAUGGCCCUUAUGCCCCGGGCUACACACGUACUACAAUGGUCGGUACAAUGGGUCGCAAGACCGCAAGGUGGAGCUAAUCUCAAAAAACCGGCCUCAAUUCAGAUUGGAGUCUGCAACUCGACUCCAUGAAGUUGGAAUCGCUAGUAAUCGCGGAUCAGCACGCCGCGGGAAUUCGUUCCCGGGCCUUGUACACACCGCCCGUCGCACCACGAAAGUUGGUUGCACUAGAAGUCACUAGGCUAACCCGCAAGGGGGGCAGGUGCCCAAGGUGUGAUCAAUGAUUGGGGUGAAGUC
rnacentral:rRNA from 1 species